rnacentral:rRNA from 1 species
UACGGAGGGUGCAAGCGUUAUCCGGAUUUACUGGGUUUAAAGGGUGCGUAGGCGGCUCCUUAAGUCAGUGCUGAAAUACUCUAGCUUAACUAGAGGGGUGGCAUUGAUACUGAGGAGCUUGAGUAGAGUCGAGGUAGGCGGAAUUGACGGUGUAGCGGUGAAAUGCUUAGAUAUCGUCAAGAACACCGAUUGCGUAGGCAGCUUACUAAGCUUUAACUGACGCUGAGGCACGAAAGUGUGGGGAUCAAACAGG